CGUAGGUGGCAAGCGUUAUCCGGAUUUACUGGGUGUAAAGGGCGCGUAGGCGGGGAUGCAAGUCAGAUGUGAAAUCUAUGGGCUUAACCCAUAAACUGCAUUUGAAACUGUGUCUCUUGAGUGUCGGAGAGGUAGACGGAAUUCCUAGUGUAGCGGUGAAAUGCGUAGAUAUUAGGAGGAACACCAGUGGCGAAGGCGGUCUACUGGACGAUAACUGACGCUGAGGCGCGAAAAGCGUGGGGGGAGCAAACAGGAUU
rnacentral:rRNA from 1 species